ACUAUGGUGACGGGGAGGUCGGGAGGCUUCUUGGUAACUGGUACCAGGUGUUUGAGAGCAAUCGCCACCGCUUUCCUGGAACUUGAGGCUGGAGUGCAGUGGUGUGAUCUCGGCUCACUGCAACCUCCACCUCCUGAGUUCCAGCGAUUCUCCUGCCUCAGCCUCCCAAGUAGCUGGAAUUACAGUAAAUACAAUCAAGUGGCAUCUUAAAUUUUUGCUGGAAGUGGAGUCAUGAGACUAAAGAUAUCUCUUUUAAAAGAACCAAAGCAUAUCCUUUUAAUGCUUAUAAAUCUUAUUGGAUUUUAAUUAUAGUAUUGUUAAAAGUUUCUCUAUUUUAUAUCCUAGUUGAAGAAUAGAUUUUUUUUCAUUCCUUUAGUGGCUGUUUACCUAAAUUGUUUUAAAAUAUUUAAGAUCACGUGUUGUAAGUAAUUCUCCAAAGUGAACCAUUUGCUAUAAAUCUUAUUUUAAAAUUCUUACUGACAUUUUUCUUACUCUACUUAAGUACUAUACUUAAAUACUUGAAAAGCAGUUUUUGUUUAGUAGGAUCUUAAAAAGAAGCUUUUUUUUUUUUUGAGACAGAGUCUCACUCUGUCACCCAGGGUGGAGUAUAGUGGUGUGAUCUCAGCUCACUGCAACCUCCACCUCCUGGGUUCAAGUGAUUCUCCUGCCUCAGCUUCCUGAGCAGCUCAGACUACAGGCACCCGCCAACAUGCCCGGCUAAUUUUUGUAUUUUUAGUAGAGACGGGGUUUCACCAUGUUGGCCAGGCUGGUCUCAAACUCUCGACCUCAGGUGAUCCACCUGCCCCAGCCUCCCAAAGUGCUGGGAUUACAGGCAUGAGCCACCGCGCCUGGCCAAAAUGAAGCAUUUUUUAAACCAAACUGUUUCUUUGCUGGUGUGAUCUAGCAUGUAUUCAUUCCGCUGUGCUCUAUUUCUUUACAUUCAUGAUAAAGUGAAGGACAAGUUGGGGAAAUCUGAGCGUCAGAUCCUCAUUAUUUCACAUGGGAAGGUGGCAAUUAGUAAUAUUUUCUCAAACACAUGACCCUAUAUUUUGUCAGCAAGAGUCCCCAGUUAUGUGUCAAGGAGAUAUGACAGGCCCCACUAUCAUCAUUCUUAGACAUUUAGACAAAUUCUACUCAAAGUAUCCUUUGUAGACUUUAUUGCAGGUCUGUGAAAGAAUAGGUAAAGAAAUUGAAAGUAAGGGUUGAGAAAUUUUUGUAGCAAUUCGACAUUGUUAUAAUGUCCAAAUUUUCUAAUAUUUCGUUUUUAUUGUAUCUUACAAAAUAUCCAUAUGCAAUGGAUUCGAAAUAAAGAAAAAUCUGGUCCUUCAUCAGAACUAGGAAAGCACUGAUUUAAACAUUUGGUCAGACAUUUUAAAUUGAAUUAGUAAGCUGUGUGGGCUGGACUACUGCUGAAGAGCUGUAUUCAUGUAGUGAUGAUCACCAGAUAGUGAAGUGGAACUUGUUAACCAGUGAAACAACUCAAAUAGUAAAGCUUCCUGAUGAUAUUUACCCUAUUGAUUUUCACUGGUUUCCAAAAAGUUUGGGUGUAAAGAAACAAACCCAGGCAGAAAGCUUUGUCCUCACAAGUUCUGAUGGUAAAUUUCAUCUGAUUUCCAAGUUAGGAAGAGUGGAAAAAAGUGUAGAAGCUCACUGUGGAGCAGUACUUGCAGGAAGAUGGAAUUAUGAAGGAACAGCAUUAGUUACAGUUGGAGAAGAUGGACAAAUAAAAAUUUGGUCAAAGACUGGGAUGCUUAGAUCAACUUUAGCUCAGCAAGUGGAAAGCUCAUGAUGGCAUUAUUUUAAAAGUAGAUUGGAACUCAGUCAAUGAUCUUAUUUUAUCUGCUGGUGAAGACUGUAAAUAUAAGGUAUGGGAUAGUUACGGCCGCCCACUGUACAAUUCACAACCUCAUGAGCAUCCUAUUACUUCAGUUGCCUGGGCUCCAGAUGGAGAAUUAUUUGCUGUUGGAUCGUUUCAUACUUUACGCUUGUGUGAUAAAACUGGGUGGUCAUAUGCAUUAGAAAAACCCAACACUGGCAGCAUAUUUAAUAUUGCAUGGUCUAUUGAUGGCACUCAGAUUGCUGGAGCCUGUGGAAAUGGACAUGUUGUUUUUGCACAUGUGGUGGAACAACACUGGGAAUGGAAAAAUUUUCAAGUAACAUUAACUAAAAGAAGGGCCAUGCAGGUUCGUAAUGUUCUUAAUGAUGCAGUGGAUUUACUGGAAUUCCGUGAUAGAGUCAUUAAAGCAUCUUUGAACUAUGCACACUUAGUUGUUUCAACGUCUCUUCAAUGUUACGUGUUCUCCACGAAGAACUGGAACACACCAAUUAUAUUUGAUCUCAAAGAAGGAACUGUUAGUUUAAUUCUGCAGGCAGAAAGACAUUUUCUUCUUGUAGAUGGUAGUAGUAUCUAUUUAUAUUCAUAUGAAGGGCGCUUUAUUUCAUCUCCAAAAUUUCCUGGAAUGAGAACAGAUAUUCUGAAUGCACAGACUGUAUCUUUGAGUAAUGAUACCAUAGCAAUAAGAGACAAAGCUGAUGAAAAAAUAAUCUUCCUCUUUGAGGCAUCAACUGGAAAGCCGUUAGGUGAUGGAAAGUUUCUUUCUCAUAAGAAUGAAAUCUUGGAAAUUGCUCUGGAUCAAAAAGGACUUACCAAUGAUAGAAAAAUUGCUUUCAUUGAUAAAAAUAGAGAUCUGUGUAUCACUUCUGUGAAACGAUUUGGGAAGGAAGAACAAAUUAUCAAGCUUGGAACAAUGGUGCAUACUUUGGCAUGGAACGAUACAUGCAAUAUCCUUUGUGGACUUCAAGAUACUCGAUUUAUAGUGUGGUAUUACCCCAAUACAGUUUAUGUGGACAGAGACAUUUUGCCUAAAACAUUAUAUGAAAGGGAUGCAAGUGAAUUUAGUAAAAAUCCCCAUAUUGUGAGUUUUGUUGGAAAUCAAGUAACUAUUAGAAGAGCUGAUGGCUCCCUGGUUCACAUCAGCAUAUCACCAUAUCCUGCUAUUCUCCAUGAAUAUGUAAGCAGUUCAAAAUGGGAAGAUGCUGUAAGACUUUGUCGCUUUGUUAAGGAGCAAACCAUGUGGGCUUGUCUAGCUGCUAUGGCAGUUGCUAAUCGAGAUAUGACUACUGCAGAAAUAGCCUAUGCAGCAAUUGGUGAAAUUGAUAAGGUUCAGUACAUCAAUUCUAUAAAAAAUCUUCCAUCUAAAGAAUCAAAAAUGGCCCACAUACUACUGUUUAGUGGGAACAUACAGGAGGCUGAAAUAGUACUUCUUCAGGCUGGCCUUGUUUAUCAAGCAAUCCAGAUCAAUAUUAAUCUCUACAACUGGGAAAGGGCACUGGAAUUGGCUGUAAAAUACAAAACACAUGUUGAUACAGUUCUUGCUUACCGUCAAAAGUUUUUGGAGACAUUUGGUAAACAGGAAACUAAUAAACGAUACUUGCAUUAUGCAGAAGGUCUCCAAAUAGAUUGGGAGAAAAUCAAAGCCAAAAUUGAGAUGGAAAUUACAAAAGAAAGAGAGCAAUCAUCAAGCAGCCAAUCCAGCAAGAGUAUGGGUUUAAAGCCCUAAAUGCCAUGCUUAUCUUUAAGAAGUUUUAUCUUUUGAAACACAUUCUGAUUAACCAAGGGUGAGCAUGUUUUGGUUGCUAAAGAAAAAAGCAUAAUCUUUAAACAAGUAUAAGUACUUGCUGUGUAUUUAAUGUAAAAGUACAUUCAGAAAGAUGAAACAAAGUAAUUGAUGUAUUUCUAUCUUUUAUAUUUUUAGUCCAAUAAUUAGCAAAAUGUUACUAUGUACUUAAGAGAUACCUGUGUAGUGUUGAUUAUAUUUCAGUUUUUUGCCCAUUACUUCAUCCCUAAGUCUUCAGCAAGAACAAAUAUUAAUGUUGAUAAUAAAACAUUGGACUCUU
rnacentral:sRNA from 1 species